AACGCUAGCUACAGGCUUAACACAUGCAAGUCGAGGGGCAGCGAGGUUGAAGCUUGCUUCAGCUGUCGGCGACCGGCGCACGGGUGAGUAACACGUAUCCAACCUGCCUGUUACUCGGGGAUAACCUCUCGAAAGAGAGACUAAUACCCGAUGGUACUUCCUGAUGGCAUCUGAUGGAAGUUAAAGAUUUAUCGGUAACAGAUGGGGAUGCGUUCCAUUAGUUUGUUGGCGGGGUAACGGCCCACCAAGACAACGAUGGAUAGGGGUUCUGAGAGGAAGGUCCCCCACAUUGGAACUGAGACACGGUCCAAACUCCUACGGGAGGCAGCAGUGAGGAAUAUUGGUCAAUGGACGCGAGUCUGAACCAGCCAAGUAGCGUGAAGGAUGACUGCCCUAUGGGUUGUAAACUUCUUUUAUACGGGAAAAAAGUGCGGCACGUGUGCCGUUUUGUAUGUACCGUAUGAAUAAGGAUCGGCUAACUCCGUGCCAGCAGCCGCGGUAAUACGGAGGAUCCGAGCGUUAUCCGGAUUUAUUGGGUUUAAAGGGAGCGUAGGCGGACGUUUAAGUCAGUUGUGAAAGUUUGGGGCUCAACCUUAAAAUUGCAGUUGAUACUGGACGUCUUGAGUGCAGUAUAGGCAGGCGGAAUUCGUGGUGUAGCGGUGAAAUGCUUAGAUAUCACGAAGAACUCCGAUUG
rnacentral:rRNA from 1 species